UACGUGGGGGGCAAGCGUUGUUCGGAAUUACUGGGCGUAAAGGGCUUGUAGGCGGCCAACUAAGUCCGACGUGAAAUCCCCAGCUUAACCUGGGAACUGCGUCGGAUACUGGAUGGCUUGAAUUCGGGAGAGGGAUGCAGAAUUCCAGGUGUAGCGGUGAAAUGCGUAGAUAUCUGGAGGAAUACCGGUGGCGAAGGCGGCAUCCUGGACCGACAUUGACGCUGAGGAGCGAAAGCUAGGGGAGCAAACGGG
rnacentral:rRNA from 1 species